rnacentral:snoRNA from 1 species
AUCUGUGAUGAUUUUCUUAUAUUCACACUGUCUAAGGCCAGUUUAGUUACUGUGCCAAUGAACACACUUUGAAAAAACUGAUUUAAUGACUCUGACG